rnacentral:lncRNA from 1 species
UUACUUUUUCAUUGACACUCUCCAACAGCCGCUUAACCCCAGCUAAGAGGGUAAUAAUACUCUCAUUGGAUAUCAAUACUCCCUUGGGGUCACCAGUAGUUCCACUAGUAUACAUUAUUGUACAGAUAUCACUUCUUUGCUUUGUAGGUAGAUCGAAACUCUGACUUUCACCCUGUGACGAUUAUUAAAAAUCAAAUUAGGAAUGGCAACCACAAACUGUCCGUAGAGAAGUAACAAAAAUUUUCUGCUAGACAAACUUUUAAUGAGAUUUAGAAAAGUAACUUCAACUAACUUAUAAUGAAUACGUAUCUAUAAAAAAUUGAAACAAGUCAACUAACUUAUAAUGAUAAGUUUCAAAUAUCAUGAUAUCAUCAUUAGUUUUAUUAUUUUAAAUACGUAACAAAUAUGUUAACUUUUUUCUUUCCACACACUCCAGUUCCACUAUUACUUAGAGAAGAGUAACUGCCAGUGGUCCUAGAUAGUGAUACAAGUCAUAUAAUUAUUUUUGCUGCAAAGGAGACUCGGAGCACUUGUAGUUAAUGGCAAUUAUAUACAGAAGGAGUAGCUUUCAUGUCAAAAUUAUUGACAAGUAAUAAUAAAUGAAAUGAAUAGCCCACCAAUUGUAAAAAUUCAGUCCAUGAAUAUAUUGCCAAUCCAAACUUUCCAACUUCUUGCUUUUGUUCAGGGGUAACCUUUCCGAAGCUCACAAUGGCUGUAUAAAGACAUAAAAGUCAGUCACUGCUUCUUUCAAAAGCACAUGUAAUGUAGCGAAGAAAGAAGAUAAUUAAAAAUACUUACUCAUGAGAUAUUUGGUUGCAUUUGGAAAUGUCUUCAACAGCUGAAAUGUUUUUUUUUUAAAAAAAAAAGGAUAAGACAAUAUUCACAGAAAAGUGUACCUAACUCUCUAAUCCUUUAAAUUACUGUGAAAUAGAUUAUUUCAAUAGGAUGAACCUCGGGUAUCUUCUUUUCUUCUGCAAAUGCAAUUGAGACCUCUGCAUGGGAUAUAAUAAAUUCUAUGGCCCUAGAACCUAAUUCAUAUAUGUAUGAAAGUGUCAAAGCCAUUGGUAUUUGGAAAUUCAAAAUUAGAAAACUGAAUUUGAAUGAGUAUUAGGACGGCAUGUAUUUCCGGUGAAAUGAAAAAAUAACCUAACAAAACUCUUGUGAUUAUCAAUAUCUACAUAAUGGGACAUUCUACCAGUAUUGUCCAAAUUUGAAUUUUCUACAACGAAGUAAAUUACAAACAAGUUAUCAUUGCUGUGAGAAAGUUUAUCACAAUUUUAGGCAACUAUAGCAAGUUUCGGCGAACGUUUAGUAAUUUUAAGUAGGUAGAUUUUCAAAGAAUGGAUAAAUGAACUCACUUUUUUGUUUAUAAAAUCACAAGGAUAAAAACAUGUAUACCAGAUGGACAUUAAAGUUCUUAAUAAAGUGUGAAUUAAGAACUUACAUUUUUUUUUUAAUCAAAUAUAUGAAACUUUGUUCAUAAAACAUGUAAGUUUUUUCUAAGUGCCUAAAUUAGUGAACUUUAGUGAAAGUUAGCAAAAAAAUGCCAUAUUGACAGAAACAUUGCAACUUUUCACAAAACAUUAAAGGGAAAAUCUCAUGUACAAUAUAUUUGGAAACCAAAUUCCAACUGCAGUUGAGUAAAAAUACCAAUUCUAAGUAGAAACAUGCUAAAUGUAUGCACACACCUAAGGUGUCAUAUAAAGGAACACAAAGAAGUCCAUGAGCAUUGCAAGCCUGCAAGAGUAAUGGGUCAAUCAGGCAGCAAGAGUCAGCUUGAAGAACAAAACAGGGCGUUGGAAUUGGGAAAAUUUUAAAAGACAGCCAAGAGGAAAGGAAUUUAAAAAAUAAAUGUACCUCCAUGCUCAUAAUCCACUCUGCAGAAUUGGCACCAUAAAUACCACAUUUUACACCCUGCAAACCAGAAAUUAAUAUGAAUUAAGCUCAAAAAAACAAAUCACUAGAAAUAAUAAUUACCUGCACAAGUGAAAUGCCAAAAUCACACAAGACAAAUGUUACAGGCUUAGGUUCAACAGGAAAAACUGUGACAAAGAGUCAAGCAAUUGAACCUGCAUGGCCUGUUCUUGGUAAGUGAAAAACUAUUGAACUACUCAUGCCGCAGAUAGUGACAUUAUCAAUAAUAUAUUAUCAAAGAAAUUAAAUAAGAGGUAUCUGAAUUUGGAAUUUGCAUGAAACCAUCCACAUUGCCAUUGGCCCAUUGCACAUCAAUGCUGAUUGUAAAUAAUGAACAACCCAACAGAUACAGAGAAUCCAAGAAUUGGAAUAUUGUACAAAGAGCAAAAUGCUAUUAAAAUAACCAAAAACAAAACAAAAUUACAUUUUUCGGUAAUCAAGAGACAGAAGACUUACUUCUCCAUAACCACAGCUGCGGAUGGAAUUUCCGACUUUGAUCACUAUGUCAUAUACUUCUUUGUAAGUUUGCCACUUGUACUUGCCAUGCUGUUAAGUAUCAAAAUGAAACGUGCAUUUAAAUAAACAAAAAGCCAUGGGUGGUCCCGCAAUGGCAAGAAAUUUUCCAGAAAACAAAAGAUUUAUAUAGUAACAGAGAAUUUACCUUCCCAUCUACAAUCUCUCGGGUACCAAGCAUAGGAUUAUUUGGAUACUUCUCAACAGACAAUCUGUAAAACUACUAUAUCAUUAGAAUUGAGAUGACUAAUAUGGUAUUAUCUUAGAUUCUUAUCGUUAAAAGCCCCAAUUUCUGUUAGUGAUGUAAAAGAGAAUGAAAACUCUAGAAACCGAACAACAAACUCUGAUUUAGUACUAAACAAAAAAUAAAUUAAAACAUAUGAUUGAGAUCAGAGAGCUUUUUUUUGCAUUUUAGCAUAAUAAUUCAACAAAAAAUAAAAUAAAAUAAAAUAGAAAAUAAGAAAUAAAUGCAGCCGAUCUAGUACUAAGUACAGAGAUACCAACAAUGAAUGGUGAUUAUUUCAAGAAAAAGAAGGUUCAACUAAAGUCGUCACUAAUUCAGUAUCAAAUCUACACUACAUGAAAUAAAUUGAGAAAGAAAAUAGUAUAUUCCUAUCUAUGCAUUGAAAUUAAAGCGAAGAGAUAACCUAACCGGAAAACAUCCCAGCAACUAUCAAGACCUUGAAUAGGAGCAGGAAAUCCAUCUUUAGCGAAGAUGCUACGAUAAGCAGGUCCUCUGGAAGGUCUAUCUUCAGUUGCUUCCUUUGCUUUUUCGACUUCAAUGAUGAAUCUCUUCUGCGCCAUGGCUCUGUCUGUGUUGUAACUGUUCCGAUUGAAGAAGUUAUUAAGGAAAUGAGAAAGUAGCUGAGGAAUUCAGAAUUUGAUAUUGUAACACAUUUUUUACACAAAGUUGACACAACUGUAUACUACUGUUCCUUAAUACCUUUAUUUUCAUUUUUUUUCCUUUCCCUCUCAAUUUCCUCUUUCUUGACACGACAACACACUCUUUCCCUCUUUCAAUCCAAUUUUUGACAGAUUCAUUACCACCAAACCUCAUCUUUCUCUCACUAGCAAACCUCUUCUCCCUCCACCACCAUUCAGCUUCAACUCCGAUUUGCACCAACAAUUUUUCAUUUCCAAUCUACGAAGAUUCAGCGUUCUACUUCUCGACCACUCAUUGUUGUUGUGUUGCAACUGUACUUAGUUAACUGACUUAAUUUCCUCAAAUAUAUAGUUAAUUAGUCAGUUUCUGUCAAAACUUCAAAAUUUCACCCAAAUUUGCAAUAAAAUAUAAUGAAUGUGCGUCUUGUACUAAUCUGAGGUGAAAAAAUAAUCACAAUUGAUAAUUUUAGCAUUGUUUUGGAGGGAAAAUAAAGUAAGAAUACAAUCAACUAACCAAUUUAAUACAAUCAAAGUCAUAAAAAAAUCCCAAAUCUAAAACCUAAUAAGAGAGAUUUAAAACUGAAAAUGUAGUAGAUUACAUCGAUUACCCGUUGUUGUUGUUAGGUUAAAUGUUGGAGCCUGAAGUAUGAGGUGUUGGAGACUGUGCAGCGGUGGACGGAGGAGUGUGGUGGUCAUGCAAUUGAGAGAUUCCGCAGAAGCUGGUCGUCUUUCAGACUCCAAUCGCAGCUGUUCGCGGUUGCCAUUGUGGCCGACGGACCACGGUGGUUCGAUACCAACUCGCCAAAGAUUGGGCGCGAAAGAGGAUUCCGCGGCAAGCUAAGCGUUUGAAGAAAAAUAUAAUUUCUCUUACACCCGUAAUUCUUUUCUACCCUGAAUUUUCGUUUUUGCACUUGUAUAAAAAAUUCGGUUUCUUAACCGAAAUUUUUUUGCGUUGAAAAAAAAACAUUCGGUUUUUGCAAACCGAAUUUUUCUGCAAGGACAAAAUUGGAAUAUCGGGGUAGAAAAAAAUCACGUGGUCGGAAGAGAAAUUGUUAGAAUAGAAAAUAUAAUAAUAUUAUUUNNNNNNNNNNNNNNNNNNNNNNGAAAAUAUCUCGAUUUGGUUUGUUUAUUAUAAUAUUAUAAUAUUAUUUGGUUUGUUUAUUCUUAGCCCUAUAAUAAAGGGAUUUAGUUUAGAUUUAAAUUUAUUCACUUGGUUAUAAAUAUCAAGGUAGUAUCAUACUAUUUGUUAAUGUAAAUAAUGUAAAUAUUGUAAUUAGGGUUAUUGCCAUCAUCAUCAAUAAUAUUUUAUUGUUCCUUAUUAUUUUCUCCUANNNNNNNNNNNNNNNNNNNNNNNNNNNNNNNNNNNNNNNNNNNNNNNNNAUUCCGCUGCAAGCUAAGCGUUUGAAGAAAAAUAUAAUUUCUCUUACACCCGUAAUUCUUUUCUACCCUGAAUUUCCGUUUUUGCACUUGUAUAAAAAAUUCGGUUUCUUAACCGAAAUUUUUUUGCGUUGAAAAAAAAAACAUUCGGUUUUUGCAAACCGAAUUUUUCUGCAAGGACAAAAUUGGAAUAUCGGGGUAGAAAAAAAUCACGUGGUCGGAAGAGAAAUUAUCGAAGAAAAACUCACAAUGCAGAGAGAAAGUGCAACCAUUGUGACGAAACUGCCCCUAUGUAAAAAAUUGAAGUGACGAAACCACCCUAUGUAUGCAUAAACGGUGUCAAAUACAUGUGUGUCAAGUAUAUGUGUAAAAUUGUGUUCCAGUAACAUUUCUAAAUUAUUCAUAGUACAUUUCUAGAAAUGGAGGGAGUAUAUUUUGCUCUAUCAAGUAAAACAUGAUGAGUGGCUAAAACCAUAAUGGGACCAUGUGCCUGUGAGUGGCAAAUGCAAUUAUUUGAAACGUGCCUAAGAUAAUGGGGGAUGAGUGAGCCAGAGGGAGCAUAUGGAGAUAUUUAGAUUCGGAUUCGGAUUCUCUGACAUUAGUUAUUUCAAAUUAUGUAGGAUUCAAAAUUACCAUGUUGAGUGUUGAGUUUGGAAUGUGUUUGGUAUAUAACUACGCGUAGCAAUACGAGAAGAAAAUUAACUUCCUUAUUGAUCAUGUUCUGGUUACAUACAAGCCAAGUGUUAAUGAAGUGACUACUUUAACUAAACCGUACUGCUAAUAUGAUAAUUGGAGUUGUAAGGUGCAAAAAGUGUUUACAAGUUAAGUGGCGAAUUAUGAUCACAUCACUAAUGACGCGUUUGCAAAUUAUGUCAACGACCCUUUAUGAUUUGAAGCUGGAAGAUAAGGAUAAUUUGGAAGGUGAUUAUCCAUUGGAAGAGAUUUACUUAGGUACUCCUGAUAAUAAGAGCCUAAUUUAUGUCACCUCAAUUUUGCCAAGGAAAUUCAAUGGUCAAAUUGGUCACACAUUAUAAAGAAUGUUUUGAUUGGGACUACUGUGAAAUGUCACGCCUAAGCAGAUAAUUAGUUGAACAUGGGCUUAGUUGAACACAAGUUGCCUUUGAAAGAGAUUUAAGCAUGUGAAACAAUGGAUCAAGAUUGUAUGACUUUUGAGCGGGAAAGGUGCCUUUGACUCAAUCUCACCCGUCGGAUGCAUCUCACGCUCCAGAUCAUGCCACGUGUCAGUUUAUUUUGAAAAAAGAAAAAACAAAACAUCAUAUUCAGAGAGUUCAAACCCAGAUAUAUUUGCCUUGUAACCCAUCGUCAACCAGCACGCCAACGUGUUACUGCAUCUCCUUCGUCCCGCGUGUUGCUGUCAAGCCGUACUACGUUUCCUCUGUUGAAGAUCCAGUUUUCAUUUGUUGGUGGUCGGUACAACCGUGCAAGGCUGCAUCUGGGCGAUGUUAGCUGUCGAAGGAGAGGUGGGUACCGUGGGUUACUUGGAGGUGGUGGGCUUCGCCAUAUAUGAAGGUUGAAGAGGUUCACCAUGGAAGCAUAAGAAGUGAAGAAGAAGCUGUGGGUGGUGUUUAUUUUUGUGGCAUAAUCUGGAGCAUGAGAUGCAUCCGGCGAGUGAAAUUGAGCCAAAGGCACCCUGCCUUUUCCCAUUCAAAAGUCAUGUAAUCCUAAUCCUUGAAACAAUCCUACUGAGGCUUUACUGCUGAAGUGCGUUAUCAAAGAUCAAAGAGUAAAAAUAGGGAGGCUAUUGAAAGUAAUAUUCAGAUAAUCUACAGCUUCUUUGUUGUUGAGAAUCAUUUAUAGCAUUAAAAACUACAAAAUCUCCUAUACAAGUAAUGUUUAACGAAACGUAGAAUAAAACUGUAAGCAUAAUUCAAAAUAUAUGAAUGGGAGGAUUCAGAACUGCUUCUCAUUCGUAAUCUUUCAAGUUUCAAGAGAGUUGCUAUUCAGUUCAAAAUAAUUAAUUAAUACGAAAAAAGUAACAGUCUAACAAAUGAACUAGAAACAUUAAAUGAAACAAUUAGAGUUUAUUGUAUAAAUCUUUGAAAACAUCUCUAGGUAAAAUACAAGAUCUACACCAUGGUGUCAUUCGAUAAGGGAUGGAAUAGUAUUUUGUUGUCACAGGUCGAGCCAACAAUUUGUUUAAACUUUGUAUUAUCAUAUCUUCAACGGUUGAAUGUGGCAUAUAAUCUACCAUCUCUCCAUAAUGAUAUGUACAGACAGUCACUAAAAGGAACAAUUGAACAGAGGCAAGAACAGUCACAUGCAGAAAAUAAAUUAUCUACAUGGCAUGGCACCAACUCCAAAAGCAUUUCUCAGGCACGGGGUUUAUUUCCACUUUUGUACAUGUUAUCAAUCACAUUCUGUGCACACACAAAAAUAACAUUGCAGUCAGUACUUUCCAAAUACAUAAAUUAUUAAUUGAAGUCUUGAUGCAUAUUUUGAAACAUUUAAGGCGUGCUAGAAAAUUACAGUUGAAAGUGGAGUGGAAAAAGAAAGAAAUUUAAGCUUACAACUAUUAAUUAAAGACUACGCACCAAUUUAUAUCCCCCGUUCAUUUCUACAGAAAAACCUACAGACUAAAUCUCAUGUCACUCGAAAACAAUUUCUUGUGUACUUCAGCAUUGACAUUAGAUAUCCCAAAUUCCUUAAGAUUCAACUACCACGUCGUGUGUUCAGUUUCGAGUCUGUUUGGUACAUAACUAGUUAACUACUCGUAUACAUGCAAUACAAGAAGAAAAUAAACUUCCUUAUUGAUUUCAUGUAUAGGUGCUGGUUUAUAUAUAUACAAGCCAAGUGCAAGUGAAGUGACUACUUUAACUAAACUGUAACUAAUAUGAUAUUAAAGCUGUAAAACAGGGUAUAUCAGUUGCACUAUGAUUAACAUCUAAUCUAAUAACAUGGGAGACGAUCACAUCUAUAAACCGACUAUUAGCCAACUCAAUCAGAUGAGAUUUCCACACCUUUUUUCGUUUAAAAUUGCUCAUUAGAACGAAACUGUCCGGGAAGAAAAGAAUGUUUAAUUUUCAAAGACGAUUGCACUAAAUACCCAUUCUAUAUUCUAAGAAGCUUAAUUUUUUUUUUUUUGAAUCAGAAAUGGAAUUGUGAGAAUUUGACAACUUUUACCUGAUAAUAUUUAAGCAACUGAGGCCUCUUCUUCUUAUAUGUUGGAGUGAUAAGGUCACGUUCCAUAUCUAAUGGAACUGGGUCAAGAUGAACUGCUUUUAUAAAUUCAAAUCCUUUCAACUGCCAAAAGAAUAUCCAUCAACCGAUAAAAUUUCAGGAAAUGUAUGCGCAUACAAACACGUUAGAAUAGAAUCAAUUGGUGCAAGCAUAAGACCAUACACAAACCACUUAAAUAAUCCUUUGAAAAAAUUAUUUUCGGCCAUCCAACCAUUGAAUAUUAGUUAAUUAUGCUAAUAUUUCAUGUUAAAUAUUAUUUCAAACUUUUUCUUUGACUGGUAUUUCAAACUAAAUGCAUAUAAUUAGAUUAGAUGGUCGAUAUCUUAUAUUAUGGUGAAAAAGUUACUUUUUUAAAAAGUAACUUGUGUGGGACAAUAAUAAGAAGCUUAAAUUAGAAAGAACCUUCUUUUCCUUUCCAAUCUUUGAGAGCUCUUCAAGUAUGUAACUUUUUGCCCUAGAAUCUUCACAGAGAGAAUUGAAGUCCGUGGAUAUACCAUUUUCUUCUGCCCAAUGUUCAAGUGCCUGCUUGCUGGGGGUAACAACAGCAACAAGGAAGGCCUCAAAACUGUUUCCGUAAACCCAUAUCUGAUACAGGAGGAGAAAAAACAGUUCAAAUCAGUACGAGUAAAUAAAAAGAUCACUUUUCACAUAUUUUUUCAACUUUAUAUGGGCAAUUUUCAAUACACGCUAGAAUGCUAAAUCAUUGGAAGGGUUCUCAAGACAUACAGAUUCAAUAGAAGGAACUUGGCUAAAAAUAUUUUCCAGGUUUUCAACGGCAACAUAUUCUCCUUGUGAAAGCUUGAAUAUAUUCUUCUUCCGGUCAAUAAUCUUCAUGCUUCCAUUAGGUUGCCACUCUCCAAUAUCCCCUGUUGAAUAAACUCCAAAAUGUGACCCGAUAGCCAAUUUAAGUAGUAUCUAUAAAAUACAAUUUUGGAAAACUCAAAUGAAAUAACCUGUAUGGAACCAUCCAUCAAUUAGAACCUCUUUUGUGAGGUCUUCACGCUUGUAGUAUCCUGAAAACAAGGUAUCACCCUUUACACAAAUUUCUCCUCUUGGUGUGCUUGCAAGGGCAUCAUAACCCAUUUCAGGAACAGAUUCCAGGCACGCAUCCACAUUGGGUACAGGAGGACCCACCGUUCCCAGCAUGUCUAGUUCAUUAGGUAAUGAGACAAAGGUUCCCGCACAGGUUUCGGUCAGACCUGUUUUCAUUUAAACAAAAAGGCAUAUUAGUAAAGUUCAAAGUCUAGUAUAAAGGGCCGUAAAAGUCAACAGUCAAUAUCUGCAUUAUUACAUAUGCUGCAUUGGAAUGAAAAAACAUCUGAAUAACUUGCACAUAGAAUUCAGUUUCACUAUAUUUCUAUAAACAUACAUUAAAACUAAAAGUAUUAGCUAAUUGCCGCAGUUCAUCUCAAAUUAAUAAAGGACAGUUUAUAUCCAUAAAUGGAGAUAAACUAGACUUAACUAAAACAUAAAUGGAGAUUCAACUAUGUAUCUGAGUGCACAUGGCACGAUGUAAAUUUUGAUUUUCAAUACAGAAAGAGCAUACCAUAUCCUUGUAGGACAUGAGAACAAGUCACCACCCGUAAGUAAUUUUCCACAUGCAUAGAUAGAGGUGCUGCUCCAGACAAAAUAAGACGUACAUGACCCCCUAAACCUUGCUUCACCUAAUCAAAUUGAAAAAUCAACUCAUGAUUAGCCAAAAAGAGAAAAUACAUUUCUGUCAAAAUGGGCAGGUAAUUAAUAUCGUAAAUUUUACUACCUUAUCAAACACAACUUUGUCAAGAAGUGGAGAUGCUGCGUCAUGCUUUUUCCCUUUCUUCAUGUUAUUCAACUUACUGCGAUAAAUUCUCAGAGCUUAUAUUAUUUAGAAUAUUGCAAUGUUUAUUGGGACAGACAAUAGUUAAAUAUGGCAACCUAAUUAAGAAAGUUAACAUUAAUCUAAAAGAGAAAUUGUGCAUGAUUUGACAAAGGAACACUCAUGUUUUCCUAAUAUCUUAUAGAGGAUUUGUGAGGAUUCAUUAGUACUUACUAUGAAAAAGCAAAGUUGAAUAAUGUCUUCUUCAGGAAGCCUCCAGAAGAUAUUUUCUGUGUCAAACCUGCAUACGGGUGUUGAGAGUCAUAAUAUAAUUUUUUUUUCUAGCUUGGAAAAGGGAUGGCAGCUCAUGAAAAUGAGUCCAGAUCCUCUCCAUUUAUAGGGGAAAUNNNNNNNNNNNNNNNNNNNNNNNNNNNNNNNNNNNNNNNNNNNNNNNNNNNNNNNNNNNNNNNNNNNNNNNNNNNNNNNNNNNNNNNNNNNNNNNNNNNNNNNNNNNNNNNNNNNNNNNNNNNNNNNNNNNNNNNNNNNNNNNNNNNNNNNNNNNNNNNNNNNNNNNNNNNNNNNNNNNNNNNNNNNNNNNNNNNNNNNNNNNNNNNNNNNNNNNNNNNNNNNNNNNNNNNNNNNNNNNNNNNNNNNNNNNNNNNNNNNNNNNNNNNNNNNNNNNNNNNNNNNNNNNNNNNNNNNNNNNNNNNNNNNNNNNNNNNNNNNNNNACUCCAUGAAAAUAGGAAAGAAAUGUGGAAAAAAAAAACCACUACAAUUAUCAAAAAAAUAAUUUAAAUGGUAGUUUUAUCCUCCUGAGAACGUAAUUUGACCGUCAACACCAUAGACCAAUCAGAAGAGCAUACCUGUGUACACUCUAUCAAGUACACGGGGUACAGCACAGAAAAUAGUUGGUUUCAGCUCACCAAGGUCUUCAAUUAACAGUUUAACAUCCUGCAGCCAUUGUGCAAAUGAUAAACAAGGUCAUAUUCAAAUCCAAUCAAAUUCCAGGUUUUGACUUGUUGGGGUGAUAAAAUCAAAUCCAAAGUUCAAUUAUCACAUUAAAUAUUAAAUUAUAAUUCAGUAACAACCAGUUUAGUACAUAUACUCACCCCACGCCAGAAGCCUAUCGAGGCACCAUGCCAUAUAAAUGUCUCCUCAAUGACCCUAUCAAAGAUAUGUGCGAGAGGAAGGUAUGAUAAGUACACAUCUUUCACAACCAACUGCAAAGAAGGAAAAAGGAGGGGAGAUUAUGUAAGUCAAAGAAGGACACUUGAGUGUUUAGUAUUUUAAUGCUGGAGGGGAAAAAAUCCAGAGCUUUGAAAUUAUAUAUUUAAUAUACAUGAAUUAAAUGAAAAGAAAUUGCUUAUAGGGAGUGCUUGGUGCAUUCAUGUAGUUACAAGUAAAAUAUAACAAAGAACAGCUUACUUUUUCAUUGACACUCUCCAACAGCCGCUUAACCCCAGCUAAGAGGGUAAUAAUACUCUCAUUGGAUAUCAAUACUCCCUUGGGGUCACCAGUAGUUCCACUAGUAUACAUUAUUGUACAUAUAUCACUUCUUUGCUUUGUAGGUAGAUCAAAACUCUGACUUUCACCCUGUGACAAGUAUUAAAAAUCAAAUUAGAAAUGGCAACCACAAACUAUCCAUAGAAGUAACAAAAGAGACAUUACGUUCUGCUAGCCAAACUUCUAAUGAGAUUUAGAAAAGUAACUUCUAAAAACUUAUAAUGAAUACGUAUCUAUAAAAAAUUGAACCAAGUCAACUAACCAAACAAACGAUGGAUACAUUUGCAAUAUAAUGAUAUCAUCUUUAGUAUUCUUAUUUCAAUUGCGUAAAAUUAUGUUUACUUUUUUGUUUCCACACAUUCCGGCUCCACUAUUACUUAGAGUAACUGCCAGUGGACCGAG